GUGCUCACUUCAGUAGCACAUAUACUAAAAUUGGAACAAUAAAGAGAAGAUUAUCAUGGACCCUACACAGGAAUGACACGUAAAUUUGUGAAGUGUUCCAUAUUAAA
rnacentral:snRNA from 1 species